rnacentral:rRNA from 1 species
GACGAACGCUGGCGGCGUGCUUAACACAUGCAAGUCGAGCGGUAAGGCCCUUUCGGGGGUACGACGAGCGGCGAACGGGUAGAGUAACACGUGGGUGACCUGCCCUCAGCUCUGGGAUAAGCCUGGGAAACCGGGUCUAAUACCGGAUAUGACUCCAUGACGCAUGUUGUGGGGUGGAAAGCCUUGUGCGGCUGAGGAUGGGCCCGCGGCCUAUCAGCUUGUUGGUGGGGUGAUGGCCUACCAAGGCGACGACGGGUAGCCGGCCUGAGAGGGCGACCGGCCACACUGGGACUGAGACACGGCCCAGACUCCUACGGGAGGCAGCAGUGGGGAAUCUUGCGCAAUGGGCGAAAGCCUGACGCAGCGACGCCGCGUGAGGGAUGACGGCCUGGUGUAAC